GCAGGGGAGGGGUUCCCAAACACUCAGAGGGGAGCACUCCAGAGGGGGGGCGGGGCCCUACUGUGACCUAAACCAGCGCCCAAGAAUCUGGCAUGGCCAGCCGUCAGACCCCAGCUCAGGAGUGCAGGGUGAGCAUUGAUGCCGUGAUUGGAGGCAGCCCAGCCCCUCAACUGGCCAUGUCCUGGAAGGUCCAUCUCCUGGAAGGUCCGUCUCCUGGAAGGUCCAUCUCCUGGAAGCUUCAUCUCCUGGAAGGUCCAUCUCCUGGAAGGUCCAUCUCCUGGAAGGUCCAUCUCCUGGAAGCUUCAUCUCCUGGAAGGUUCUCUCUGCCUCUCCCUAAAAGCAUGAUGAAAUACAUCACCGUGCUUGGAAAAGAAGCAAAAGGUUUUGUUGAGAACUGUUUAAGAUUAUUUCUUACCCAUGUGUGUACAGGCUGAAAAGGAAAUUUUCAGAAAUAAGGACCGUUAAAACGGAAACCAGUGUAGUUUUAUAUAUAUAUAUAUAUAUAUAUAUAUAUAUAUACACAUACAUAUAUAUAUAUAUA
ensembl:lncRNA